rnacentral:rRNA from 1 species
CCUACGGGAGGCAGCAGUGAGGAAUAUUGGUCAAUGGGCGAGAGCCUGAACCAGCCAAGUCGCGUGAGGGAGUACUGCCCUAUGGGUUGUAAACCUCUUUUGUCGGGGAGCAAAAGCCGGACGUGUCCGGGUGUGAGAGUACCCGAAGAAAAAGCAUCCGCUAACUCCGUGCCAGCAGCCGCGGUAAUACGGAGGAUGCGAGCGUUAUCCGGAUUUAGUGGGUUUUAAGGGUGCGCAGGCGGAUUUUUAAGUCAGCGGUAAAAUCGUGGGGCUCAACCCCAUCCAGCCGUUGAAACUGGGGAUCUUGAGUGGGCGAGAGGUAUGCGGAAUGCGUGGUGUAGCGGUGAAAUGCAUAGAUAUCACGCAGAACCCCGAUUGCGAAGGCAGCAUACCGGUGCACAACUGACGCUCAGGCACGAAAGCGUGGGUAUCGAACAGGAUUAGAUACCCGAGUAGUC